GUGCUGGCUUCAGCAGCACAUAUACUAAAAUUGGAAAGAAACAGAGAAGAUUAGCCUGGCCCUUGUGCAAGGAUGACAUGCAAAUUCAUGAAGCAUCCCAUAUUUUG
ensembl:snRNA U6 U6 spliceosomal RNA